ACAGCAGCCAAGAAGAGUGCCUGACGAGCCCAGCUAUAAGACGAUUAAUCCCUUAGUUUUGCCAUCGUGUACGGAAGCAAUUCAGUUCAUCACCCCUUACUGCUCUGUUGCCCAGUGUUGGCCAGUGACUGGAGUUCAGGAGCACAAGCAGAGCUCAAUCAGCACUCCUCCUUUCACCACUGAAGCAAAAAAGCAAAGGAAUGAGUCCCUUUGUGACUGCAGCCCACAAAAAUGGCACCAUACUGUAUAUGCCAAAAAUUAAUUGGGAUAAGAAGAUUGAGCCUUGUACAGCAUAACAACCCUGAAGGCAGCAGUUACAAUCCCAAAACAACUUUUCCAUUUGUAAUCUGGAUAAAACAACAGGAGAAUUAAAUAA